AUGAGGAAAUAGGAGAGGAAGAAGAGAUGAGAGAAUAGAGAGAGUUAUAUUUGUACUCUCAUUAUUUCAGAUUAUAAAUGAAAACACCACUGCUGUUCCGAAAACUUACUCCAGUCACAUUGACUAUAGAGAUGAACGCCUUCCAUCGGUUCUCUACUUCACGGCUUGUGGUUGCAAGAAAAGUAUGUCUAAGUCGUGAUCCAUGAAUUUACUUUCAUUUUUGUUGUUGCAUUUGAUCAUCAUUAUAUGAAUGGUCAUUUUUGUUUCUUUUAUUUUCCAAGUAAUGAAUUUACUUACUUGUUGGUCAAUGGGCAAUGGGCAGUGCAGCCUCUAAAUGGAUACAUCCAUUCUUUCCUGAAUUGUGUGAGCGGUUUAAACAUAUAACAAUAUAUGUUUUUCCCCUGCCACCCAAGAGGGCACCCUUGUCUCAAUGCACUUGUUGGGUCUUAAGUCGGUACAUGACUCAAUCCUUUGUAUUUUGUUUGAUUGCAAAUGUCUACUUGUUACUUCAUUUAUCACUCAACCCUGAUUGUAAGAUGUAUAGUACCUAAACAAGAUAAGAC
rnacentral:sRNA from 1 species